CGUAGGGUGCAAGCGUUGUCCGGAUUUAUUGGGGGUAAAGAGCUCGUAGGCGGCUUGUUGCGUCGACUGUGAAAACCCGCGGCUUAACCGCGGGCUUGCAGUUGAUACGGGCAGGCUAGAGUUCGGUAGGGGAGACUGGAAUUCCUGGUGUAGCGGUGAAAUGCGCAGAUAUCAGGAGGAACACCGGUGGCGAAGGCGGGUCUCUGGGCCGAUACUGACGCUGAGGAGCGAAAGCGUGGGGAGCGAACAGGAUUAGAUACCCUGGUAGUCCACGCUGUAAACGUUGGGCGCUAGGUGUGGGGGGCCUCUCCGGUUCUCUGUGCCGCAGCUAACGCAUUAAGCGCCCCGCCUGGGGAGUACGGCCGCAAGGCUA
rnacentral:rRNA from 1 species